rnacentral:rRNA from 1 species
CUACGGGGUGCUGCAGGCGCGAAACCUCUACAAUGCACGGAAGUGUGAUAGGGGGACUCGAAGUGCUCAUGGAAACAUGGGCUUUUCUUAUGAUUAAAACUCAUAGGGAAUAAGUGGUGGGCAAGACUGGUGCCAGCAGCCGCGGUAACACCAGCGCCACAAGUGGCAAUCGCAUAUUGGGCCUAAAGCGUCCGUAGUUGGUUUGAUACAUCUCUUGUGAAAUUGUUGGGCUUAACUCAACAGCGUGCGGGAGACACGGUCUUACUUGGAACCGGGAGGAGUCAGAAGUAUUUCGGGGGGAGCGGUAAAAUGUGAUAAUCCUCGAAGGACUACCUGUGGCAAAGGCGUCUGACUAGAACGGAUUUGACAAUCAGGGACGAAGGCUAGGGGAGCAAACCGGAUUAGAUACCCGCGUAGUC